GGUCCAGUGAAAUUGAGGACUGAGAAGGCCCUCAUAGGAGACUCCAAGGCAGCUUGACAUGUAUGUCUGAGCUGAGAGCAGAGCGCUAGCCCUGGAUGGUGGUGGCAAAGUGGGCACAGAUUAGCCACAGAGUAACAUGUGAAAGGACAGAGUUCUCAUUGGAGCCUUAUGAGAGUUCAGCAUUUGAGGCUGGAGAGAGGAGGGCAGCCUGUGAUGGAGACUACAGAGAGAGGAUGACAGCAGAGAGCUGGGACCCAGUGCUGAAAGCCUGGAGUUACUAGAAAGAGGAAGAAGCCGGGGCUGUGGCGACUGCGGACAGGUCAGGGCUGGUGCCAGGGCUGGCUGAUUUUGAUGAGACGGAGGUCGGAUGAGCUAGAGGCCACUGGGACUGCAGAGGAGCUAUUUCAGUGCCAGGUGGGGGAGGAAGCAGAUGGCGGUGGGUUGAGGAGUAGUAGGAAGUGAGAAGAGAAGAAGGAAGACAGCCUGCGCAGACAGGCUUGGGCAAGUUUGGCUGUGAAAGGGAGAAGGGAUGAGGGACGGGAGAACAGACCUGGGGUCAAGAGAUUUGGUGGCUGAUUUUUUUUUUUUUUGACUUUUCAGUGCUGGGGCUUGAGUGUGCCAGGCAAGCACACUAGUGUUGAUCUGUAGCCUCGUGCUUGGCCUCUGACUAGGACAGAAAUGCUGGUGGGGGCUGGAUAGCUUUGUGCAAAGAGGUAUCCAGCACUUGGAAGGUAAAGGUUGGAGGAUAUGGAGGUCCAAGAGCAUCCUCGACUACACAAUGAGAAGAGAAAACUGACUUCCACUGCCCUCCACAUGUGGGCCAUAGGACAAGCAUCCAUGCAAGCAGGUGCACACACACACACACACACACACACACACACACACACACACACACACCAAGUAUCCAUGCAAGUAGGUGUACACACACACACCAAGCAUCCAUGCAAGCAGGUACACACACACACACACACACACACACACACACACACACCAAGUAUCCAUGCAAGCAGGUGCACACACACACACACACACACACACACACACACCAAGUAUCCAUGCAAGCAGGUGCACACACACACACACACACACACACACACACACCAAGUAUCCAUGCAAGCAGGUGCACACACAUACACACAAACAGACACACCCCAAGUAUCCAUGCAAGCAGGUGCACACACACACACAAGUAUCCAUGCAAGCAGGUACACACACAUACACACAAACACACACACCCCAAGUAUCCAUGCAAGCAGGUGCACACAUGCACAGGACAAGCAUCCAUGCAAGCAGGUGCACA
rnacentral:lncRNA from 1 species